rnacentral:tRNA from 1 species
GCUUUUAAAGGAUAGAAGUUAUCCGUCGGUCUUAGGAACCGAAAACUUGGUGCAACUCCAAAUAAAAGUA